CCUACGGGAGGCAGCAGUGGGGAAUAUUGGACAAUGGGGGCAACCCUGAUCCAGCGAUGCCGCGUGAGUGAUGAAGGCCUUAGGGUUGUAAAACUCUUUCAGGUGGAAAUGAUAAUGACAGUACUCACCAGAAC
rnacentral:rRNA from 1 species